AGGGCGCCCCCUGGAGUGGAGCCUGCGGCUUAAUUUGACUCACCCCGGGAAAACUCGCCCUGGCCCGACACGGUAAAGAUUGAGGGACUGAAAGCUCUUUCUUUUUUCUGUGGGUGGAGGUGCAUGGUCGUUCUCGACCAUGAUCUGACAUUUGGUUGGCUAAUUCAAUGGACAAAGGAGACUCUGGCCUAUUAAAUAGACGGUAUAUCGAAAAGUAUAUCUGUCUUCUUAGAGGGACAAGCGGCGUCUAGCCAUUUGAAAUAGAGAAAUAGCCGGGAUGUGAUGCCCUUAGAUGUCCGGGGCUGCACCCGGCGCUACACUGAAAGAAUAAAAGUGCGGCCGGCCCUAAGGUCUAUGCGCUCACUCCCCAGGAGAUAAUUCUUCUGGGCUUGGGAUAGGGAAUUGCAAUUAUUUCCCUUAAACGAGGAAUUCAAAAAGGAAGGCCUUGCCGAUCCUCAAAAUGAUCUGGCCCCUCCCCUGUCGACCAUCCCCCCGUCCCUCCUCCCAAUCGGAUAACGC
rnacentral:rRNA from 1 species